rnacentral:tRNA from 1 species
ACUAUUUUGGCAGAUUAGUGCGAUAAAUUUAGAAUUUAUAUAUGUAAUAUUUAUAUUAUAAAUAGUA